rfam:Anopheles epiroticus strain epiroticus2 unplaced genomic scaffold supercont1.2087, whole genome shotgun sequence.
GUUAUUAUUAGUUCUGUAAAAGGGUUGGAUCCGACGCCUCUAGAAGGCUACUAUAGGCUCUCCUUCUCAACUCCUACUCAAUACGUCCACGUCGUGCAGAACGGUAACUUGUUGCUCAGAUCCAAGCUUGGGUACACGGGGAAACCCAACCCCU